UCGAGUCAACAGGGAAGCAAGUGAAUGAUUUUACUUCGUAUUUGAAAGUUACUUCGUAUUUAUUUAUUAUGUCUUUAUAUUUAGAGUAAUGAGUGCACUUUUCCGUCCAGCCAUACAACUAACUGGCUUAGCGAUAUUUCUAGCACUCACUGGAUGGCGUUGUUACACAAAAUUUGACGCUGUGAGAAUGAAAGGGACAUGUUUUUAUAUUGACCAAAUUAAAUGUGUUAAUGUAUCUUUCGCGCUCUAUGGCAGGCAGGAUGGACAGAUAAAUACUCGACAUGUUUAAUCUGAGUGAUUUCAUAAGUUAUUUACGCCUGCUGGCUGUGUAAAACGUUGCUUUGUUCCGCUAUUUUGAAUGGAAGCCAAUGGAAGCGCUGCUUUUUUAUCCCCCGAAAAGGGGCGGUGACGAAAUUUACAGUCAAGUUCCCGGAUGUGCCGUGUCGUCCGUAUCGCGAGACGCGCGUUCUGGUUUAACCGAUAUUCUCCUCAAACGAGUGUUCCGUUUUUGUUGUAGAUUCUAAGGAAAAAUGUUUUGUGAAAAAUAAGCAUAGUUUGAGUGACGUCACUUAGUGGCCGCGUCAACUCUCUCGUUAUGCUGCUGCAUAUGACUGGACAGAGUCAGAGUAUUUCACCAAAGAGCCUGGAGUCGGUGGUUCUUUUGUGAUGCUGGGUGAAAUCCGCUACAGACAGACGAUGAGUACCAUGAUCUGAAGAUGACGUGGGAUAACAGUUAAGUAGGUAAAGAGUCUGAGGGAAAACAGCACCUGAGAGAAGGUGGCAGUUCUAACAAGACCGGACAACUGUGAAUGGAGGUGAGGAUGCUUUUAUAGUGCACUAUGAUGGGGUGAUGAGGAUCAAGUGACGGUGAUUAGUAGUUUGGAGAGUACAAUGGUUGUGGGGAAGUGUAGGGAUUCUUCUCAAUUUUUAUUUGUGCAUCCUGCUUUCCUUUCCUUGUUUCCUUCACUCCACCCAUCGAUAAUGCCAUCGAGGAAAAGACGCAUGGACAGAAGAGACAAAGCAUAAAAGCUCCCAUAACACAAGCUGUUUCUGUAUUUCUGAUGUUAAUCUGGAGUACCUAUAGAGUAGUAUUACAUCCUUUAUGCUUACAAUCCUGAAGUAGCCCCCCUCCACCUAAUUUGCCGGGCAACUUGCUAUUAAAGGAUCUUAUCAUUAAGGUUGCUAGAGCUUAUUGCUUUAUUGAAAUUUACAAGGAUAAAAAAGACUCUGAUAGAGUACGAUACAGAAAAUGCAAAUACGGUUAGCAAACUAAAAGCAAAGACCCUCUCUAGGGAAGCCUGCAAGCUUAGUAUAACAAUGCUGCUAUAGCUGCUAAACACAGGGAAGGAGACUUUCUUUUUUUUUAAGAUUUAAAACAGAUUAAAAUGUAAAGUGUAAAAUGUAAACUGUAACUUAGUGUCAUAACACUCUGAAUACCCGCAACAAAUAUUGCUGAUCAUUAUUGACUGGCUAAGGCAUUGCACGCUAGUCAAGUUGACUGUUGCAGGUUUUCUAAUGGUAGAAUACCAAAGGUUGCUAUAUACCUAGUUAAAGUAUCUUUGCUGAUUACUGGUUGCUGUUCUUAGGCUGCCUGCACUCACAGGAGCCCCACCCGUCGCAGAAGUUUGAUCAACAGGAGGCCUGACCAAUCAUAAUUCUUCUGGUCAACAGCUAAUGUUAGUUGUAUUGCGAUCAGACAGGAUCAGAUUUAGGUUUAAAACAUUAUGGUCAUCUACAAGCCUCUGAAAUGUGCACUAUAUAAAGCAAUGGUGAAAGUUUAAGAAACAACAUCUUCAGUUUUCUUCUAAUUUAUAUCUGCAUUAUGUGAGAAGUCACCAAUAUUGAACAGAAAUCAUAGUAAAAAUGGGAUCCAGUCCAUCCCUGUAAAUUUCAGUGGUGUGCUAUUAGGACUCUUGUGUUGUUUGCUUUUGAAUGCCACAAGUUUCCACAAGAUCGUUGAUUCCAAAGUUGAUUAAUUUGAGCUCCAUCGUCUUUGUAUUAACCAGGGCUUUAUUAAUGUUCAUGUCAUCAUUGAAGACACUGCAGUCAUUGCAGUGUUUAGCUCUGAUUUCUUUUUGGUGCAUUAAAUGACGUGCCAGUGGUUCAGAGAGACGACCGUCAUUGUCUAUCAUCAACUUAGCCAGAGUCACGCAGGGAUGUGGAAACUCUAAAACAAGAAUGUGCUUAUCUUUCUUGAACCAGUUCAACAUUUCUACAAUAUGUGGGCUUUUUCUCAGGUUUUAGUAGCAGCAGAUUUAUAAUGAUUUACCCAAAAAUAGAAAUUAGAGUAUAUUUUACUUCCCCUCAUCCCGGUGGUUGGGGACUUCCAGUCUUGAUGUAGACAUGUUGGUAUUUGUCUACCUAAGUCUAUUUGACGACUGUCUGGAGAGCUUUGAAUAGACGUGAGUAUGAAUGUUUGUUAUUAGCGUGUUUUACAGACUGUGAAAUCUGUACAGCCACCAGUGAUUGCCUUUGCUUUUUUUUAUUUAAUUUUUUGAGCUCCAUCGUGUCUGUUUUGACCAGGACAUUGUCAAGCUCUAAAUCCCUGUGAUAGACACCAUAGAUGCGAGCAGUGCUUGGCGCAUUAAAUGAUGGAUUUCUGACAGACGACCUCCAUUUCUCUGGACAAGCUCAAAGAGAUUCAUGCAGGGAUGUGGAAACUCCAAAAUUAUGAUGUACUGAUGUUCCUCUUCAAACCAGUCCAACAUUUCCACAAUGUAGGGGCUUUUCUUCGGUUUAAGCAGCAUCAGAUUAAUAGCCACUUCUGAAUAAGAUGCUCGGCAUGUCCACGCUAGUACAAAAGCAUUAAAAGAGGUUAGCUGAAAAUAGCGGAGAUGUUUAAUUUCCAUGCACUUGUACUAAGAUACAGUGGGGUCUUUAUUUAUGAAUUUAUUACAGCUGCAUUCUGUAACUUUUGCCUCACUAACGCCAUCUCUGUUUGAACUAUAAAACUGCAGUUAUUUGCAGAGUAAUUUGAAAUCCCAGUUUAAAAAUCCCAGAUUGCCUCUUUAUAUUCUUACAUUUUUGGACCCCAUUGUAUAUAAAAUUUUAUAUAUAUAAAAAAUCUUGCUAACUUACCAUUUUAAUGAAACUGUCAGAGAGCCACAACUUCUAAAAAAAAUUGAUGGCGACCAACAAGGGAAAGUAAUCAUUUGUAAGUCACAUCAAACUAUUACUGAUAUAAACAUAUUUAGAUCAAAACACUCAACAUGGAUUUAUGUGUUAUGUCACAUUGUGCUGUUUGAUGAAGAGCAGUUUUACCUUUCUGCCAUCGGAUUUUUGAUAUCCCUCAUGAACUGUACCAAAGCCACCUCUUCCUAUCUGUUUUUCUAGUGUAUAAAGCAUUAUAAAUGCCCCUGAAAAACAAUCAAUACAAAAUGAACAUAAGGCAAUUUUUGUCUCCAAUAACAGUGCUGCUUAUAAUAAAACAGACAGAAUAAAUAUUCAUGUAAUGAAUGUGCAGAUCAUGGAGAGUUGUUCAGUACAUCCAAUGCUAAUCAGCUACUAGCAGAAAAAAACAAGAUGAAUGUUUGUGAUCAAGUACAAGUAAAAACAGCAGGACAACCAUUAAAAAACCUAAAUAUUUCUUUAAACCAGAAAUCAGGACAAGAUGAAGGGAAAAGCUGAAUCAAGAGUCCAUCAGAAUAACACAUUAUAUAUUGAAUACAGGAAGAAGGUAUUACAUAAACGUAUUACAGUAACUGGGCACAGGUUUAAAACAAUUAGGAAAAGAGCAGUUGACAAAAGAGAAAAAUAAAGCUGACAAUAAAAAGCAGAACAAAGUGAACCAGAACAUAAUAACAGUAAACCUACUAGCAGGCUGUUCAUUUUAUGACUGCUUGACUGCAGAGAGGAUGGACCUGGCUGUGGAUCAUUUUGAUCACUUUGACCACUUGGCCCCUGAUUGGAUGGACCAUGUUCAGGAACAGCUGGAUCUUGAUGAGCUGUUUGCUUCAAUUUAGAUGAACUUCAAUUUAGUACCCGCUGGCUUGAGUCCUGUGGGACUAAACUCAAUCAUUUUCACGGCCCUUGAAUGCAGGCCGGAUGGACCUGGCUGACUAUCAGUCUGAUCACUUUGAGCACUUGGCUCCUGGUCGAACAGACCGUGUUUAGGAUCAGCUUUUUCUUGAAGAUCUGUUUUCUCCAAGGUGGAUGAACCAGACUGGCAAUAGACUGGUUCUUCACAGCACGCUGGCUUAAGUCCUGAGGGACUAUUCUGCCUAUCAUCUUUAGGGCACUUGACUGCAGGCAGGAUGGGCCUGGCUGACUAUCAGUCUGAUCUCGUUGAGCACUUGGCUCCUGGUCGAAUGGACCAUCUUUAGGAUCAGCCUCUUCUUGAAGAUCUGUUUUCUCCAACAGCACUUGGCUCCUGGUCGAAUGGACCAUCUUUAGGAUCAGCUUCUUCUUGAAGAUCUGUUUUCUCCAACAGCACUUGGCUCCUGGUCAAAAAGUUGCUAAUUUUAUUACGUAUGGCUGUGGCUAGAACUAAAAUCGUGAUUUAAGAGGAAAAUUACUUACUUUCUGUUAAGAAAAAUAGUUUACUCUCACAACCCUAAAUGGAUGUUUGCCAGUAAUAUCAGUAAUUUCUUACAGUUUAAAGGGGGGAUGAGUUUAUUCACAAUCGAAGAUGUUGAUAGCUCUCAUGUUGAUAGGGAAAGACUAGGACACAAAGACCAGUGAGGAGCCCAGGGAAGAUCCGAAGUGCAAUAAGCGUCGGGGGCCAAACCCUGUGGUGAAGACUCCCUCAUAGGUUCCCCUCAAGUAGUUCAUCCCCACCUCACCUGGUCCCUUAGGUGUCAAACUACAUUAGAUUAGGGUACAAAAACACUCUAUGAUAAAUUUUAUAUCUUUUAUAUUUAAUAUUUUUUAUGUAAGGUUGUAAAAACAAUUGUUAAAGCAAUAUAAUCACAGGGAAGUUGAAACUUAAAAUGUUGUAUGAGAGUACUGCUCUUUUGUGUUUUUCUGUUUGUGUUGCAGAUACAGGACAUUGCCAAAUGCAUGACUGUCAUCAACAUAUGAAGGAGCAGGCUGAUCAAGAGCAAUUGCAAGUGGCCUUAAAAAACUGGAUUGUGUAGGAGCACGGCAGAACCCCAACAGCACUUCCUCUCGGCCAAGGCUUAUGGGAACAGAUUCUAGUGGACCUGCUGGUUACAUACAUACAUACAGGGAACAAUGCAACCUCUGGAACAUCAAGUGGAUGUCCUGGUAUAAAUACAGGGACAAAUACGCCAGUACCCACUGUCAACAGUGAAAUGCAAAGCAAACUGACAGACCUCUAAAUGGGGCAGUGGAGCUUGGAUGGCUUCAGGCAGGACCUGAUAUCAUUGCCAGAAAAUUCUGGUCACAAAGAGGUUAUCAGUAUCCUUAAAGAGGAGCAUCAUAAAAUGAAGCAACUAGCUGAUGGUUGGCUUUGCUAUAAAGCUGCAGUUGUUCUGGAGAAAUGGAGAUGUUUUCAGAGUGAAGAGAGGUUGCUUUAGGUGGACCAUCCAACAGGAGAGAAGAUUGAUUGAAGAUUGCUAAUCCGAAAGUGGAUGCAGAUGUGUUCAGAAAACGGCUACUAAGUGCUGAAGUGCAGGAACAACCCUUGCGUUUUAUCUUGGAUCUCAGGGAGAAACUGGAGGAGCAGAUAAAGAGAUGAUAUCUUACUCUGAGCGAUCAAAUGUCACUUGGUCUCGGCCAUUUUCCUGUAUUCUCAGAGGUAGGCCCUAAUAUUUUUACACUAGUUGUGGUCAUUAUAGUAUACUGAUAACAUACAACUAAAUAUACAAAUGCAUAGUGUUAUCUGCCAUAUUUAAUCCCUGUAAUCAUCUCUUACUGUAUGUUCACACCACCUCUGGCGAGAGCGUCAAAAAAACACUCUGGCUGGCCUGUCAACAACGAUAAAGACAAAGUGUAGAGGACGCUCUGAUGAUCGAAUGCAUUCUCUGAAAUCAUCUCAAGCGGGGGUUUCCACCUUCUGGUUGGUUGCCGCCGAACUGCGUUAUAGCUUCUUACCAUAAAGUUGAGCUGAUUUCAGCUCUCCCCAAUGCUCACACCGUCCAAGACGCGCCACUGCUCUCCACCGGCUAUCAUUGAAAAUGAAAGACUUCCAACCAUUUUUAAGCUCUCGCAGGCAGCGGUGUGAACCCACAGUUAAGGUGAUGCUGCCACAGAAUAAGGGAUGACCCGUCACAUUCUUAGUAGGCCUACUGCAAUCCUUAAACUGAGAAAUGGCUUCAGCAUAAUCUUUGAAACUCUGUCUCACCACCUAUGCCCAGGAAGCUACCCGGUAUCACGAGAAAUCGAGUCCCCACCAGAAAGGGAUUUUUUGGGGAUGGCUGCACCUCACAACUCUUCACUGACCACUGCCUGCGUUUAUGCAUCAUCUAGUCAACAGAAAGUUUUAAGCACAAUGAGGUGGUUUUCCAGACAGGGAUUAGUUUACGCCAGGACUAGGCCUCAGUUUAAUUAGGAAAUAUAAUUCGUUUUAACAAGCAUGCCUUACUGAAAACAUUACUUGUGUUCAUUUUGAGGCAAAACAAAAGGGCACUGAUGUAUUUUAUGAUUUGUCAGUGCAAAUUGUUUUCAGUUUGGACAGAUUUCACAUUUAUUUUAGUCUAGGACUAGUCUGAUCCCUGUCCGGGAAACCGCCCCAAUACGUUUAAAAAAAAUACAGCUGAAUACUUAGCAAUACAUUUAACUGCCAUAUGUUUCAGAUUGUUUAGCCAGAGGACACAGUUUUUGUCUUCACUUGUCAUGGUUGCAUGUGGCUAGCUUACUGAUUAUGUGAAGACUCAAGCAUUUUAACAUAACACACAUAAAUUUGAACUAACUGUUGAAACAUUGGAGACAAUUCAGACAUUACAGUGUGUUUUCCUGUAAAAACACUUUAAAAUAUUAUGCAUUCUAAAAAGCUCAAAUGUCUUACAAUGAAAGUGUUUAUAAAGCUUUGGAUUUUGUGUGAAUAAUGUAAUGUUAGUUAUGAUGUUACUUUAUAUGCUCUGUAAAAGUAAGCAAUAUUACUGUAUGUAAUAAUUUGUGUAAUUACACACCGUGUAAGUGUAUUGCAUGAUGUUGAUUACAGUGUGUAUAAACAACAUGCUUGAAACAUUAUUGACCUUUUAUUAAACUUUAUAAUUGUAAUGUAAUGUAAUAGUAACACUAAAUGAACUAUUCUUAAUGAAGACUAAACCAUAUUGAAGAUAA